rnacentral:rRNA from 1 species
AUGGGGGCAACCCUGAUCCAGCCAUGCCGCGUGCAGGAUGAAGGCCUUCGGGUUGUAAACUGCUUUUGUACGGAACGAAAAGCUCUCCUCUAAUAAAGGGGGGUCAUGACGGUACCGUAAGAAUAAGCACCGGCUAACUACGUGCCAGCAGCCGCGGUAAU